rnacentral:rRNA from 1 species
GAUGAACGCUGGCGGCGUGCUUAACACAUGCAAGUCGAACGAAGAAGCCCAGCUUGCGGGGUGGAUUAGUGGCGAACGGGUGAGUAACACGUAAGUAACCAGCCCUUAAAUCUGGGAUAAGCAAGGGAGACAGGGUGUAAUACAGGCUAGGAGAGCCUACCGCCUGGAGGGUGUUGGAGUGAUUUAUCGGUUUUGGAUGGACUAGCGGCCUAUCAGCUUGGUGGUGAGGAAAUGGCACACCAAGGGAACGACGGGUAGACGGCCCGAGAGGGGGACCGGCCACACUGGUACUGCGGCACGGCCCAGACUCCUACGGGCGGCAGCAGGGGGGAAUAUUGCACAAUGGGCGCAAGCCUGAUGCAGCGACGCCGCGUGCGUGAUGACGGCCUUCGGGUUGUAAACCUCUUUCUGUAGGGAAGAAGCGAAAGUGACGGUACCUGCAGAAGAAGCACCGGCUAACUACGUG